GACGAACGCUGGCGGCGUGCUUAACACAUGCAAGUCGAACGGAAAGGCCCUGCUUUUGUGGGGUGCUCGAGUGGCGAACGGGUGAGUAACACGUGAGUAACCUGCCCUUGACUUUGGGAUAACUUCAGGAAACUGGGGCUAAUACCGGAUAGGAGCUCCUGCUGCAUGGUGGGGGUUGGAAAGUUUCGGCGGUUGGGGAUGGACUCGCGGCUUAUUAGCUUGUUGGUGGGGUAGUGGCUUACCAAGGCUUUGACGGGUAGCCGGCCUGAGAGGGUGACCGGCCACAUUGGGACUGAGAUACGGCCCAGACUCCUACGGGAGGCAGCAGUGGGGAAUAUUGCACAAUGGGCGGAAGCCUGAUGCAGCAACGCCGCGUGCGGGAUGACGGCCUUCGGGUUGUAAACCGCUUUCGCCUGUGACGAAGCGUGAGUGACGGUAAUGGGUAAAGAGGCACCGGCUAACUACGUG
rnacentral:rRNA from 1 species